UACGGGGGGGGCAAGCGUUGUUCGGAAUUACUGGGCGUAAAGGGCUCGUAGGCGGCCAACUAAGUCAGACGUGAAAUCCCUCGGCUUAACCGGGGAACUGCGUCUGAUACUGGAUGGCUUGAAUCCGGGAGAGGGAUGCGGAAUUCCAGGUGUAGCGGUGAAAUGCGUAGAUAUCUGGAGGAGCACCGGUGGCGAAGGCGGCAUCCUGGACCGGCAUUGACGCUGAGGCGCGAAAGCCAGGGGAGCAAACGGG
rnacentral:rRNA from 1 species